rnacentral:tRNA from 1 species
UGGGCUAUCGCCAAACGGUAAGGCAACGGAUUUUGGUUCCGUUAUUUGUGGGUUCAAAUCCCACUAGCCCCG